rnacentral:rRNA from 1 species
GAUGAACGCUAGCGGCAGGCCUAACACAUGCAAGUCGAGGGGUAGCAGGAUUAAGCUUGCUUAAUUGCUGACGACCGGCGCACGGGUGCGUAACGCGUAUACAACCUACCUUAUACUGGGGUAUAGCCCGGAGAAAUUCGGAUUAAUCCCCAUAGUACUAAUGAAUCGCAUGGUUUAUUAGUUAAAGCAUUGCGGUAUAAGAUGGGCAUGCGUCCUAUUAGCUAGAUGGUGAGGUAACGGCUCACCAUGGCUACGAUAGGUAGGGGGCCUGAGAGGGUGGUCCCCCACACUGGUACUGAGACACGGACCAGACUCCUACGGGAGGCAGCAGUGAGGAAUAUUGGUCAAUGGGCGCAAGCCUGAACCAGCCAUGCCGCGUGCAGGAAGAAUGCCCUAUGGGUUGUAAACUGCUUUUAUUUGGGAAUAAACCUCUUUACGUGUAGAGAGCUGAAGGUACCAAAUGAAUAAGCACCGGCUAACUCCGUGCCAGCAGCCGCGGUAA